rnacentral:rRNA from 1 species
CAGCCGCCACGGGAAUACGUAGGUGGCAAGCGUUGUCCGGAAUUAUUGGCCGUAAAGCGCGCGCAGGUGGUUUAAUAAGUCUGAUGUGAAAGCCCACGGCUCAACCGUGGAGGGUCAUUGGAAACUGUUAAACUUGAGUGCGGGAGAGAAAAGUGGAAUUCCUAGUGUAGCGGUGAAAUGCGUAGAGAUUAGGAGGGACACCAGUGGCGAAGGCGGCUUUUUGGCCUGUAACUGACACUGAGGCGCGAAAGCGUGGGGAGCAAACAGGAUUAGAUACCCGCGUAGUCCCUGUCUCUUAUAC